CACGGGGGGGGCAAGCGUUGUUCGGAAUUACUGGGCGUAAAGGGCGUGUAGGCGGUUAGGUAAGGGGAAUGUGAAAUCCCUCGGCUCACCCGAGGACCUGCAUCCCAAACUGCCUGACUUGAGUAUGGGAGAGGAUGAGGGAAUUCCUGGUGUAGCGGUGAAAUGCGUAGAUAUCAGGAGGAACACCGGUGGCGAAGGCGCUCAUCUGGCCCAAUACUGACGCUGAGGCGCGAAAGCUAGGGGAGCAAACGGG
rnacentral:rRNA from 1 species